rnacentral:sRNA from 1 species
CGACCGCGGAGCCCAGCGGGCGCGCGUUGCGGUUGUCUACCCCGGGACCCCGGCCCAGCGGGGCUCGGGACCGCGCGCCGGGAGCUGCGGGGCCACCCUCCGGGCAGAUCGGUAAUAGAGCCCUCCGUCUAGGGGAGCGCACCCCCGCGGCCGUGGAAAAGCGGGGGCCAUACAUGGUGACGCGCGCACCCUCCAUUCAAGCCAAGCUGCAGAAGCACCGGGACCUGGCCAAGGCCGUUCUGCGGAGAAAAGGCAUGCUGGGGGCCUCGCCGAACCGCCCAGACUCUUCAGGGAAAAGGUCUCAGCAGGCGCCACCUCCUCUGUGCCAGCAGCUUUAGAGAAGGCUUUAAUCCCCAGGAUGGAGGCAGGGUGCUCUGGUUUAAGGCCGAGCUAGCGAUUCCCCUGAUGCAACCUGUCAGGUUCACUAUCUUUAAAAUGGGAAGAGGAACAAUCUCUCUUUUCCUUUAAGGAUGUGAUAGGAUCAGAUAAAGGGCUUCGGAAUAAGGGAGUUCUGUGAGUGCACAGGCUCAUUCACUAUCAUUCUCCUCCUCUGUUAGGGAGGAGAAUGGUGGCUGGAGUCCCCAGCAAUGAGGACGAAGAGCAGUGUGGGAAUGGCUAGACCUGUUUUUGUUUGUUUGUUUGUUUUUAAUAGAAUAGUAAACUCGGAGCUGCAUAGAACCUUAUUCAGUGCCUCCUUUUACAGAUGAGGGUUGAAACUCGGAGAAGUGAAGGUUAACCCUAACCUUUUACCCAAAGACUUGCAGUUUUUGUGUCCUCUGAUUAAAUAAGUGGGGAGAGGGUGCUUUUCCUAGAUCAGGCAAGGGGAGGUGUGCUUUUUUCCAAGACCUAUGGGAGGAGUAGAAUACAGGCCGGGCGUGGUGGCUCACGACUGUAAUUCCAGCACUUUGGGAAGCCGAGGCGGGUGGAUCACUUGAAGUCAGGAGUUCGAGACCAGCCUGGCCAACAUGGUGAAAGCCCGUCUCUAUUAAAAAUACAAAAUUAGCUGGGCACGCCUGUAGUCCCAGCUACUCAAGAGGCUGAGGCAGGAAAAUCACUUGAGCACGGUAGGCGGAGAUUGCAGUGAGCCGAGAUCGCGCCACUGCACUGCAGCCUGGGUGACAGGGCCAGACUCUGUCUCCAAAAAAAGAAAAAAAGAAUGAGGACAUACACAUUCUGAGGCACUGUAGCCAGGUACAUGGAGCUGCAGGCAGUGGUGGCUGUGACCAGGGAGAAGGCAAGUCAGUAGUGCAGUCAAUUCUUUCUCCUUCAGGGCGAGGACUCUGCCUAUCCCUGUGAAAUGCCUAUGCUUUCAUCUAUGUUUGGUCUCUUCUCCCCCGUCUCCCCUCAGGUCAGUGAAGUUUAACAAGGGCUAUACUGCUCUUAGCCAGAGUCCAGAUGAAAACCUGGUGUCCCUCGACUCUGACAGGUGAGUGCUCCCCUUGGAAAUACCCCCUUGGGAAGCAACUUGGCUGGGACUGAAGAUCGCCUGAUGCCUUUGCUUGUUCCCUGUCUCCUCCAAGGCCCUUCAUGUAUAUUCCAGGGCCGUUCUCUUCUGAACAAUAUCCCUUCCCAGGAUGGCUUGGUUAGAAGACUCAUAGGUAAUCAUGCUGCUCUAGAAUUCGGAGCACCAAUGUCCGGGGGAUCAUCCUGCCCUGUUAUGUUUGCAUUGUUAGUGAGAGUGACCCUGUCCCUGCCAGAACCAACUGAGGGAACCAGUAUUACUCAAGGCCUAUUCGGACUUGAGUUCUGUUGUGUGUGGCCUUUGCUUCCAAAGUCUUCCAGAUGCCCUUGCAUGCUCUCCGCCUGAUGAUUUACAGCUGUGCGCCACAGGUACCUCCCGGAACUGACUGUUUUCUUCUUCUCCUAGUGAUGGGGAGCUGGAAUCCAGAUACUCCUCCGGGUAUUCAUCUGCAGAGCAGGUGAACCAGGAUGUGAGCCGGCAGCUGCUUCAGGAUGGGUAUCACCUGGAUGAGAUUCCAGAUGACGAGGACUUGGACCUCAUCCCCCCUAAGCCCAUGGCCUCUUCAACAUGCUCCUGCUGCUGGUGCUGUCUUGGGGACUCUUCUUCCUGUACCCUCCAGUAGACAUUACCCUCCAAGGUGGGCCCUGCUCACCAUGAGGCCUACAGAGCCCUGUUGGCCACUCAUAGCUCACACAGUGCAGUGAGCACUGAAGUCACUGACCCCUAGAAAGUGACCUGCAGGUAGCCCUUACCUGUUGCUUCUCAGGCCAGAGGCCCCCAUCUGGGCUGUGGGCUGAUAGGUAGAAUUCUGUAGUUUUCCUCUGCUGUUGGAGCAGAGUUUGGAGAAGUCACUUUAAUAAGGGCAGGACAGAGAAUUCUGGUUCUUAUGGUGGGUGACAAAGGUGGCUAAGGAAAACACUUGCAGACAGCUUGAUUGGUAUUUGUCAUAGUGCUUCAGGGAGGCAAAAAGGGAGCUCUUGUGCCCAGGCUGUGCUAGAUAGUGUUGAAUGGAGGCAGAAAAUAGCACUUUAUGGUUUACUAUAGCUGGCAAUCCAAAAAAGAAAUUGUUUGAGACCAGUUCAAGAAAUUCCAUUUGCUCUAUUCUUCCUAGCUCUAAGAUGGUUUGCAGGCUUGACCUUCAAGACAGCAUAAAGUGAGUCCUUUUGUCCCUCUUCAGGUUGACCCUGUCUAACUAUGACAGGGAUCAUAGCAGGUUGCUUAAUGAUACAGCAGGAUCCUGGCUUCCAGAAUCCCUGGACCUGGGGCAUCCCCAACUGGUCCAACCGUCCGGGUGAGUUUAGUGAUUCUGGUUUGCCCUUCCCUAGUUAGAGAAAAACUGCUCUGACAUGUUCAUAUUUAUUUAUUUGUAUUUCCUUGGUCUGGGUGAGUUUGUUCACCCAGUCUUUGAGCUAAAGAUUAGGUCGAAGGUACUGGGGCUGGCCCCAGAAGCCUGCAGUUUUUAUUAUUACCAGCAGAGGGAGCUACAGGGAGCAGUCCGGUGCCUUCCUAUUUGUUUACUUUUUAAACUUUUGAGAAGUAGCAAUGGACUCGUGAGAGUGGGUAUACAUCUGUGUGGGCUUUGUCCUAGACUGAGGCUUACAGACAGGAAGGGUAAGAGAGACCUAAGCCAGCUCCUAGACCCUUACCUGAGGAAAUCAGUCCACCAGUGUAGAGGGCCUCCCUUCACUCCAGCAUGGACCAUUCUAUUGCCAGAUUCUUCUGGUCACAGCAUAGGCCUUACUGGAUACUCAGGAUUGGGCUUUAAGCAGACCUCUGGGUGUGACACAGCCUCUUUCAGCCCCCAGCCCAAACAGCAGAAAUAGGCAUAAUUUCUGCUGUGACACCCCCUACCCGCAAAUUGGAGAGUAUAUCUUGCUAUACUCUAUACCAAGCCUCUUUCUAGAAUUUUUCCAACAGGUUUUGUUUUGUUUUUUGGCUUAACUCAGAACCAUGGUGAGCGUUCUGCUUUGUUUUGUUGGAGACAUGGUCUCUGUCACCCAGGCUAGAGUGCAGUGGUGUAAUCACAGCUCACUGCAGCCUCAACCUCCCAGGCCCAAGCAGUCCUCCCACAUGGUGAGCUUUGAAUGGGCAUAGACAGGGUUCCCAGCCCAAUAGUCGGGAUUGGGGUAUAGGUUCUACAUGGGAAAGUAUCCAGUCUCUUGCUUUACUCAGUGUCCUGUGACCGCUAGAGGCAUGAGAGGGACAACACACUCUUUUCGCUCUACCACAAGGGGUGACUAGAAGAUGAGCAAGUCUAAUAAAAAGAUACGGCCUUAUUUGUUAUUUGUCUGACAACCAUCCUUACGAUGGUAAUCCUGUGAGUGCUUGAUGGACAUCUAUCUUUGUGUUUUUCUCAAACCAUGGAAGGUUGAGAGGAAUAUAUAGUAUCUGGGGGCUGACUUACUCUACUAGCUAGCAGCAUCACAGCAGAGAGAUAGGACAGAGACCAGAGUCAUGCCAGCUUGGGGUCUUGGGAAGAGAGGCAGAUGGUUACUCUGUUCUGGAAUGGGACUCUGCAGCUCUAUGCAGGUGGCCAACAUUCUGAGCACUUUGUGCAAAUGCUUGUAGAGCUCAAGAACAUCUCCAUCCAGAACCCCUUCCCCAUCUGCAGAGACCAUGUCCAGGCCUUUCUUGUGUCUGCAGAGGUGAAGUGCACAUGUGGAAAGGGAUCAAAUGUAGCACAGUGUAAAGAAAGACAGCAACACAGGUAGAGGGACCCAGUGUGUGCUGGGAGGUGGCUGUGGAAGGUAAGUAUAGACCUACAUCUCUGUUGGGGAGGUGGUCAGGGCAGAAUGGCCUGGGUGUUUAGCAGCUUCUAGGGGUGAGGGUGGCAGGACCCCAAAACCAAGGCCCUCUGCAUCGUUGCUGUAAUAAUCAGCUCUGGCAUAUUCAGCUGCAACUGUCCCUGAAGAAGAGGUUUCUGAGCUGGCUGACCCCAUGUAGGAGGGUGUUACCUUUUAGAAAAAGCUGGAGGGACCUGGUGGGACAGUGCAGUGAGGCAGGGUAGAAAUGGUCAGUUGUUUAGGGCCAGUGGCCACAUACCAAAAUACCACCACUGUGCCCAGGGCCAAACUGCCUUAAUUCUGAGUGCUGUGUGUUCUGCAGGUGACAGUUUCCUGAGGAGAGGGGUGUAUCCAGGCUUACCUCCCAGCAGGAGUGGUACCAUAUGGUGUUUAUGUACUACUCUAUAGAACUCUUGGCUUGCACUUCUACAGCUCUGUACAUUUAUAAGAAUAAAUGCAAUCACACU